rnacentral:tRNA from 1 species
GGAAAUGUGGCUUAGUGGUAGAGUGCUUGCCUAGCAUGCAUGAAGUCCUGGGUUCAAUUCCUCAGUACCA